rnacentral:lncRNA from 1 species
AAAGAUGCAUGCCCUCCAAUUGGCAUUUAUAUAUAUGGGUAUUGCCAAUAUGUACAUGAAAGGAUUCGUCAAGUUGCCAACUUUUAUCUUUUAUUUAUAUAUGAGAUAGGUUACAUAUAAUUAUUGUACCUCUUGUGUCUACCGUUCAACUAUUCUUUCUCUUCUUUUUUUUUUUUUUAAAAAAAAACACCUCUUGCCACAGCUUUAAAAUGCAUUUUUUUUGUUGAACGACUUAAUAAAAUGCCCGAUUGGAGAAAAAAACAGAAAAAAAACAAAUGUUGACCGACUCUGGCUAGCUUCUCCUUCUAUAUAUUCUUGAACUUCAACAAAACCAUGAGAGUUUUUUUUUUUUUUUUUUUAAAAAAAAACACCUCUUGCCACAGCUUUAAAAUGCAUUUUUUUUGUUGAACGACUUAAUAAAAUGCCCGAUUGGAGAAAAAAACAGAAAAAAAACAAAUGUUGACCGACUCUGGCUAGCUUCUCCUUCUAUAUAUUCUUGAACUUCAACAAAACCAUGAG